rnacentral:rRNA from 1 species
UUGUAGCCUGCUAUGGUAUAACUUAGUGGCAGACGGGUGAGUAAUGUAUAGGAAUCUACCUAGUAGUAUGGAAUAAUUGUUGGAAACGGCAACUAAUACCGUAUACGCCCUACGGGGGAAAAAUUUAUUGCUAUUGGAUGAGCCUAUAUUAGAUUAGCUAGUUGGUGGAGUAAUAGCCUACCAAGGCAAUGAUCUAUAGCUGAUCUGAGAGGAUGAUCAGCCACACUGGAACUGAGAUACGGUCCAGACUCCUACGGGAGGCAGCAGUGGGGAAUAUUGGACAAUGGGCGAAAGCCUGAUCCAGCCAUGCCGCAUGAGUGAAGAAGGCCUUUGGGUUGUAAAGCUCUUUUAGUGAGGAAGAUAAUGACGGUACUCACAGAAGAAGUCCUGGCUAACUCCGUGCCAGCAGCCGCGGUAAUACGGAGAGGGCUAGCGUUAUUCGGAAUUAUUGGGCGUAAAGGGCGCGUAGGCUGGUUAAUAAGUUAAAAGUGAAAUCCCGAGGCUUAACCUUGGAAUUGCUUUUAAAACUAUUAAUCUAGAGAUUGAAAGAGGAUAGAGGAAUUCCUGAUGUAGAGGUAAAAUUCGUAAAUAUUAGGAGGAACACCAGUGGCGAAGGCGUCUAUCUGGUUCAAAUCUGACGCUGAAGCGCGAAGGCGUGGGGAGCAAACAGGAUUAGAUACCCUGGUAGUCCACGCUGUAAACGAUGAAUGUUAAAUAUGGGAAGUUUACUUUCUGUAUUACAGCUAACGCGUUAAACAUUCCGCCUGGGGACUACGGUCGCAAGAUUAAAACUCAAAGGAAUUGACGGGGACCCGCACAAGCGGUGGAGCAUGUGGUUUAAUUCGAUGCAACGCGAAAAACCUUACCACUUCUUGACAUGAAAAUCAUACCUAUUC